AGAGACUUAGGAUAGCACAAGACCGGGGGCCUUCAAAGCCCUAAGCGAGGGUGAAAAUCCCCCAGUCCCUG
rnacentral:tRNA from 1 species